GAUUGAAGAACGUAGCAAAAUGCGAUAAGUAAUGUGAAUUGCAGAAUUCAGUGAAUCAUCGAAUCUUUGAACGCACAUUGCGCCCGCCAGUAUUCUGGCGGGCAUGCCUGUUCGAGCGUCAUUUCAACCCUCAAGCACAGCUUGGUGUUGGGACUCGCGUUAAUUCGCGUUCCUCAAAUUGAUUGGCGGUCACGUCGAGCUUCCAUAGCGUAGUAGUAAAACCCUCGUUACUGGUAAUCGUCGCGGCCACGCCGUUAAACCCCAACUUCUGAAUGUUGACCUCGGAUCAGGUAGGAAUACCCGCUGAACUUAAGCAUAUCAAUAAGCGGAGGA
rnacentral:misc_RNA from 1 species